AUGAAGGCCACCCUCCUCUCAGUGUUGGUGACAAUAUUCACACUCGGAGGAACAGGAGCUCAGACAGUGACCCAGCCUGAGGACCACAUGUCUGUCUUUGAAGGGGACUUCGUGCAGAUCAAGUGCAACUACUCGUAUUCUGGGAGUCCCAUACUCUUCUGGUAUGUCCAGUAUCCUAAACAAGCCCUCCAGUUACUCCUGAAACAGAUCUCAGGAGAGAGUACCAAAGGCUUCGUGGCCAACCUUAAACGAGAUGAGACAUCUUUCCAUCUGAAGAAACAAUCAGCUCAACAGGAAGACUCAGCCAUGUAUUACUGUGCUCUGAGUGACACAGUAACUGGUUUCAUAAGGGAAGCAGAGCACAAACCCUUUAGGAGUUACAGAAAGUAA